UACGUAGGGUGCAAGCGUUAAUGAAUUGACUGGGCGUAAAGCGUGCGCAGGCGGUUGUGCAAGACAGAUGUGAAAUCCCCGGGCUCAACCUGGGAAUUGCAUUUGUGACUGCACGGCUAGAGUGUGUCAGAGGGGGGUAGAAUUCCACGUGUAGCAGUGAAAUGCGUAGAGAUGUGGAGGAAUACCGAUGGCGAAGGCAGCCCCCCUGGGAUAACACUGACGCUCAUGCACGAAAGCGUGGGGGAGCAAAACAGG
rnacentral:rRNA from 1 species